GUGAAUCAUCGAAUUUUUGAACGCAAAUUGCACUCUCUUCGGAGAGUAUGCCUGUUUGAGGGUCAGUUAAAUAAAAAUCGGUGUUUUUGCCACUUUUGUGGUGAUGCAUCGGAAUUGAGUCGUCUUUAUCUUUGGUUUAAAGUGACUUAAAAUUUUAUAUGAUUUUUGAACGUAUUUAAAUUAACUUACGUACGUUUAUAACAAUCGUUUAUUAGGUGUGGUCAUUUUUAUGAUAUUCGCAUCUAUAAUCUUUCAUUAAAUGACCUCAAAUCAGGUAAGAAUACCCGCUGAACUUAAGCAU
rnacentral:misc_RNA from 1 species